rnacentral:rRNA from 1 species
GACGAACGCUGGCGGCGUGCCUAACACAUGCAAGUCGAACGAGUGGCGGACGGGUGAGUAAUGUCUGGGACACUGCCCGAUGGAGGGGGAUAACUACUGGAAACGGUAGCUAAUACCGCAUACCAUCGGAUGUGCCCAGAUGGGAUUAGCUGGUAGGUGGGGUAACGGCUCACCUAGGCGACGAGCCCUAGCUGGUCUGAGAGGAUGAACAGCACAACUGGAACUGGGACACGGUCCAGAUUCCUACGGGAGGAAGAAGUGGGGAAUAUUGCACAAUGGGCGCAAGCCUGAUGCAGCCAUGCCGCGUGUAUGAAGAAGGCCUUCGGGUUGUAAAGUACUUUCAGCGGGGAGGCGUUACCCGCAGAAGAAGCACCGGCUAACUCCGUGCCAGCAGCCGCGGUAAUAC